rnacentral:rRNA from 1 species
UACGUAGGGUGCAAGCGUUGUCCGGAAUUAUUGGGCGUAAAGAGCGUGUAGGCGGCCCGAUUAGUCCGCUGUGAAAGUCCAGGGCUCAACCCUGGAAUGCCGGUGGAUACUGUCGGGCUAGAGUCCGGAAGGGGCGAGUGGAAUUCCUGGUGUAGCGGUGAAAUGCGCAGAUAUCAGGAGGAACACCAUGGCGAAGGCAGCUCGCUGGGACGUGACUGACGCUGAGACGCGAAAGCGUGGGGAGCAAACAGG